GAUGAACGCUGGCGGCAUGCCUAACACAUGCAAGUCGAACUAGCUCUAGCGCAAGUUAGAGUGGGUGGCGCACGGGUGAGGAACACGUAAGAACCUACCCCUAGGAGGAGGAUAACUGCUGGAAACGGCAGCUAAUACUCCAUACGCUGAGGAGUGAAAGGUCGAAAGACCGCCUAGGGAUGGGCUUGCGUCUGAUUAGCUAGUUGGUGAGGUAAAUGCUUACCAAGGCGACGAUCAGUAGCUGGUCUGA
rnacentral:rRNA from 1 species